rnacentral:tRNA from 1 species
GCCGAAAUAGUUUAGUCGGUUAAAACAUACCACUCAUAACGGUAUAACAAAGGUUCAAGUCCUUUUUUCGGCA